rnacentral:rRNA from 1 species
AUACGUAGGUGACAAGCGUUAUCCGGAUUUACUGGGCGUAAAGGGCGUGUAGGCGGUCUUGCAAGUCAGAAGUGAAAUUCCUGAGCUCAACUCGGGCGCUGCUUCUGAAACUGCAGGACUUGAGUGCUGGAGGGGAUAGCGGAAUUCCUAGUGGAGCGGUAAAAUGCGCAGAUAUUAGGAAGAACACCGGUGGCGAAGGCGGCUAUCUGGACAGUAAAUGGCGCUGAGGCGCGAAAGCGUGGGGUGCAAAAAGGAUUAUAUGCCCUGGUAUUCCACGCCGUAAACGAUGAAUACUAGGUGUAGGGGGUAUUGACUCCCUCUGUGCCGCAGGUAACACAAUAAGUGUUCCGCCUGGGGAGUUCGGCCGCAAGGUUGAAACUCAAAUGAAUUGACGGGG